AGAGUUUGAUCAUGGCUCAGGAUGAACGCUGGCGGCGCGCUUAACACAUGCAAGUCGAACGGUUAAACCGGCUCUUGGCCGGAUAUAAAGUGGCGAACGGGUGAGUAACACGUGACCAACCUGCCCCAUGCAUCGGGACAACCGCCGGAAACGGCGGCUAAUACCGGGUAAUGCUCUAAGACCACAUGGUCUUUUAGCCAAAGCUUUUGCGGCAUGGGAUGGGGUCGCGGCCCAUCAGGUAGUAGGCGGGGUAACGGCCCACCUAGCUUUCGACGGGUAGCCGAGCUGAGAGGCUGAUCGGCCACAUUGGGACUGAGAUACGGCCCAGACUCCUACGGGAGGCAGCAGUGGGGAAUUUUGCGCAAUGGGGGAAACCCUGACGCAGCGACGCCGCGUGCGGGAUGAAGGCCUUCGGGUCGUAAACCGCUUUCAGCAGGGAAGAAUUUUGACGGUACCUGCAGAAGAAGCCCCGGCUAAAUACGUGCCAGCAGCCGCGGUAAUACGUAUGGGGCGAGCGUUAUCCGGAUUCAUUGGGCGUAAAGCGCGCGUAGGCGGGUGUCUAAGCGGGACCUCUAACCCGAAGGCUCAACCUCCGGCCGGGUUCCGAACUGGACGCCUCGAGUUGGGUAGGGGAGACUGGAAUUCCCGGUGUAGCGGUGGAAUGCGCAGAUAUCGGGAAGAACACCAACGGCGAAGGCAGGUCUCUGGGCCUAAACUGACGCUGAGGCGCGAAAGCUGGGGGAGCGAACAGGAUUAGAUACCCUGGUAGUCCCAGCCGUAAACGAUGGACGCUAGGUGUG
rnacentral:rRNA from 1 species